rnacentral:rRNA from 1 species
UAGGGAAUAUUGGACAAUGGGUGAGAGCCUGAUCCAGCCAUGCCGCGUGCAGGAAGAAGGCGUUAUGCGUUGUAAACUGCUUUUGCCAGGGGAUAAAAAGACCGUGCGCGGUUAAUUGAAGGUACCUGGUGAAUAAGCCACGGCUAACUACGUGCCAGCAGCCGCGGUAAUACGUAGGUGGCAAGCGUUGUCCGGAUUUAUUGGGUUUAAAGGGUGCGUAGGUGGCCCUGUAAGUCAGUGGUGAAAUAUCUCAGCUUAACUGAGAGGGUGCCAUUGAUACUGCAGGGCUUGAGUACAGAUGAGGUAGGCGGAAUUGACGGUGUAGCGGUGAAAUGCAUAGAUAUCGUCAAGAACACCGAUAGCGAAGGCAGCUUACCAAGCUGUAACUGACACUGAGGCACGAAAGUGUGGGGAUCAAACAGGAUUAGAUACCCUCGUAGUCCCUGAGCGGGCUGGCAAGGCGCAU